rnacentral:rRNA from 1 species
CAUGCAAGUCGAGCGGACCGACGGGAGCUUGCUCCCUUAGGUCAGCGGCGGACGGGUGAGUAACACGUGGGUAACCUGCCUGUAAGACUGGGAUAACUCCGGGAAACCGGGGCUAAUACCGGAUGCUUGAUUGAACCGCAUGGUUCCAAUCAUAAAAGGUGGCUUUUAGCUACCACUUACAGAUGGACCCGCGGCGCAUUAGCUAGUUGGUGAGGUAACGGCUCACCAAGGCGACGAUGCGUAGCCGACCUGAGAGGGUGAUCGGCCACACUGGGACUGAGACACGGCCCAGACUCCUACGGGAGGCAGCAGUAGGGAAUCUUCCGCAAUGGACGAAAGUCUGACGGAGCAACGCCGCGUGAGUGAUGAAGGUUUUCGGAUCGUAAAACUCUGUUGUUAGGGAAGAACAAGUACCGUUCGAAUAGGGCGGCACCUUGACGGUACCUAACCAGAAAGCCACGGCUAACUACGUGCCAGCAGCCGCGGUAAUACGUAGGUGGCAAGCGUUGUCCGGAAUUAUUGGGCGUAAAGCGCGCGCAGGCGGUUUCUUAAGUCUGAUGUGAAAGCCCCCGGCUCAACCGGGGAGGGUCAUUGGAAACUGGGGAACUUGAGUGCAGAAGAGGAGAGUGGAAUUCCACGUGUAGCGGUGAAAUGCGUAGAGAUGUGGAGGAACACCAGUGGCGAAGGCGACUCUCUGGUCUGUAACUGACGCUGAGGCGCGAAAGCGUGGGGAGCGAACAGGAUUAGAUACCCUGGUAGUCCACGCCGUAAACGAUGAGUGCUAAGUGUUAGAGGGUUUCCGCCCUUUAGUGCUGCAGCAAACGCAUUAAGCACUCCG